ensembl:lncRNA
GUGUGUCACUGUCCAUGGAAGAGUGCUCAAGCGCUACUCAGCUAAGAAAAUGAUGGACUGAGACCAGCCGCGUACACAUUGCUGCAAAGGGCUCUCUUAUUAAGAUGUGGGCAUGAAAUGAGCCCAAGGGAUAUUCAUUGUCAAACGUGCAUUAGUGCCUUGUUUCUUUUGAUCAUUUAUAUUUGACAAAAUCCAAUAGCAUAUCUAUGGAAGGGCAUUAAAACUGCUUCCAGAUUUGUGAUUCAGUGAUGGGUGAGCUCUGACGAGGUUGCUGAACAGGAUUCUCAACAGGUUGAAACGUAAGAGUGGAAGAGCAACUGUAUUGAAAUUCUUAAUGGGGCUUUUACACUUGUAUAUUUCAUUACAGGUGGGAAAACUGGAAAGAUUGAAUGUCCUUUGGAGUUCACAGAGGUUUGGCAGUGGGAGGAGAAAAACAAAACGAAGCAUAGUGGGAGUGUUGAACCGACUUUCCCAAGAUCCCCAGGAAAAGCAAAGCUACUAUAAGAACUCACUACAUCAACGCGUAUUCAUUAUUGAGACCAUCCUAGGAGAGCUGCAUCAUCACAGGCUGCUCUGAGGUCUGUGCCCAAUCAAGCAAAGAACAACGGAGAUAAUCACACUGUGCAGAGGGUGACCAAUUUAGAAAAAAAGGACUCUUAAGAAGAUCGUCCAACUUCCUUAAAUGACUUUCAUUAAUUUUACACCUUUUGCCAAUUAAUUGCACUUAUGAGCCUUGCUUGUCAAUUACUGCAUUCUCACUUUCAGCAACUGAACUAAUCUUUGCCUAUUCAUAUUUUGUUUUUUAAAUAGGUAUUUCCAAUUAUUGAUAUAAAUCUUUAUGAUUACAUUACAAAUGUCUGACCAUAUUUAUUCAUUCUUCAUAGAGACAAAAUAAAGGUUCUAUUAUCUACACUUAAAACAUGUUGUACUUUUUUCUUUACAGCACAACUUACAAUAUUGUCCUUAUUUGGUGAUUAUUUUAAAACAAACAUAUUCCAUUUAAAAUACAAGCUCAAGAACUACAGAUACAUUUAUGUUUGUAUGUGUAUAUAUAUAUAUAUACACACACACACACACACACGUAUUUUUCUUAUUCUGUUUUCAGUGUCUGCCUGCAUACAUGUUAUACAGAAAAAGUUAAAUUAGUAUUUGAUCAAUAGUGAGUUUAAUGUACCUUCAUUUUUCACCUGCUGCAUAUACUUAAUAUGCUGUUAGUUUACAAAUAUGAGUAAGACCAGGAUAAAGGUAUCAAGAAACUCAGAGCCUGUAUUUCAAUGCGGCUAGUGCAAUCAUUGAUUUAUUUACUGAGUGUUAUGAUCACACAGAAGCGGCACUAACCCUACUUUUUAUUACAGUGAACUGCCUUCUGAAAGUGGCUCACUUAAAGAACAUAGCUGGAGGUAUUACAUUAUCUGAUUACAAGCUAUACUACAAAGCUAUAGUAAUUAAAACAGCAUGGGAUUGGCAAAAAAUGUAUGUAAACCAAUGGAAUAGAAAGACCAGAAAUUAACCCAUACCUAUAGACAAAUGAUUUUCUAUAAAGGUGCCAAGAAUACACAAUGGAAAAAAUACAGUCUCUUCGAUAAAUGGUGUUGGGAAAACUGCAUUUCCACAUGCAGAAGAAUAAAACUGGACCUACUCUCACACUAUACACAAAAACUGCCCAAAAUGGAAUAAGGAUUUAAACAUAAAAUCAGAAACUCUUCAACUACUAGAAGAAAACAGAGGGGGAAAACUACACGACAUUGGUCUGGGCAAUGAUUUUUUUGGAUUUGACUCCAAAAGCACAGGCAGCAAGUCCAAAGGUAGACAAACGGGAUUAAAUCAGACUAGAAAGCUUCUGUAUAUCAAAGAAAACAAUUAACACUUUGCAAAGGCAACCUAAGGGUUGGGAGAAAAUAUUAGCAAUCACAUAUCUGAUAAAGAGUUAUAACCAAAGUAUAUAAGGAGCUCCAAGAACUCAAUAGCAGAAAAUAAAACAAAAAAUUAAAAAAUGGGCACGAAACCUGACUAGACAGUUAUCAAAAGAAGACACGCAAAUGGCAAGCAGAUGCAUGGAAAAAUGUUCAACAUGGCUAAUCAUUCAAAAAAUGCAAAUUAAAACCACAAGGAGAUAUCAUCUCACACCUGUCUUAAUGGUUUCAUUGAAGAGCUGAAUGAUAACACGUGGUUGACAAAGCUGUGCAGAAAAGGGAACACUUGCACACUGUUGGUGGAAAAUGUAAAUUAGCACAAUCAUUAUGUGAGUAAUAUGGAGAUUCCUCAAAAAACUAAAAAUAGAAUUACCAUAUGAUCCAGCAAUCCCACUUCUGAGUAUUUGCCCAAAAGAUUUUGAAUCAGUUUGUCAAAGAGAUAUCUGUACUCCCAUGUUCACUGCUGUACUAGUCACAAUAGCCAAAUUAUGGAAUCAACAUAAAUGUCUAUCAGUCAAUGAAUGGAUAAAGAAUGGAUAACUGAAAUACUAUACAGCCUUAAAAAAAAAAGACAAUUCUGUCAUUUGGGGCAACAUGAAUGGAAUUGGAGAACAUUAUGCUAACUAAGUAAAAUAAGUCAGGUACAGAAAGACAAAUACUAUAUGUUCUCACUUAUCUAUGGAAUCUAAAAUAGUUGAACUCAUAGAAGCAGAGUUUGGAGUGGUGGUCACAGAGGCUGAGGGGCAGGGAAAAUGAGGAAAUGUUGGCCACAAGGUACAGAAUCCCAAUUAGACAGGAAGAAUAUCUUUUCCUCCUUUUUGAGUUCUACUGCAUAAUGUGGUGAAUAUAGUUAAAAAUACAAGCUGGGAGCAGUGGCUCAUGCCCGUAAUCCCAGCACUUUGGGAGGCUGAGGCAGGUGGAUCACCUGAGGUCAGGAGUUUGAGACCAGCCUGGCCAAUAUGGUGAAACCCCUUCUCUACUAAAAAUACAAAAAUUAGCCGGAUGUGGUGGCGUGAGCCUGUACAGCUAUUCCGGAGGCUGAGGCAGGAGAAUCUGGGACUUGAACCUGUGAGGUGGAGGUUGCAGUGAGCUGAGAUCGCACCACUGCACUUCAGCCUGGGUGACAGAGCAAGAGUCUGUCUCAAAAAACAUAAAAAAUAAAAUAGAGUACUGUGCAUUUCAUAAGUAAUUUCAAAUGUCCUCACUAGAAAAAAUUUUAAACAUUUGAGGUGACAGAUAAGGUAACUAGCUUGAUUUAAUUAUUCCACAUCGUAUUUUUGUACCCCAUAAAUUUUAGACAGUAAUAAAUUGUCCAUUUAUAAUAAAAAUAAAUAAAUAAUGUUACAACCAGUUAAUAAUUACCAAAUGAAUACCAGAGAAGUAUGUUGUCUUUAAAUGAUGUCUCUUCCCAAAAUGUUCCCAUUUGCAACCGAAAUAACAAAAUACAAGAGUUACUGGAAACAAAAAUUCGUGUGACUCUUUUUGUGUGCAUUUGUAGAGUGCACCACCAUGACAUGGAACCAUAGAAUAGUAAUGAAUUAUGGUUUUAAUAAGAACACAUGAUAAGACAACUAGGAGGGUAGCAAAAUAAAAGUUCCUGAGAGCUCCAUCCUCUAAUGUCCUAUUAAAUGUACCAAAAAGCUUCUGGGAAGGUGAAAAUCCCUGACAGGACGCAGAACUAAUGGCAACAACUGAGCAUGUUCCUAAAAUCAUGGGGUGUUCUGCACCAAUGGGAUUUGCUCCAAUACAUGACCAAGAGCAGAUCUAAAAUUUUUCACUUAUCAAAAACUGAACCUUGGUCAUAGGUGGAUCUGGAGAAUGCUCUGCCCCAUAUCCACUGACAUUAUUAGGAUUUGGUCAGUCAUGUGAUGUUGAUAGCGUGGUUUCACCUGGGUAACUCCAUCCUGAGACAGACUAUUGGGGAUGGAAUUAUCACAGGUGUCAAUCACAUUAAAAAUGUGAUUUGGCCAUAAAUAUGAGACAAACCUGGCUAUCUUACAGCCCUAACUUUAUCUUGAUUGUGGAACAAACCACAGGCAGAAUAUGUGACUCAUGGCAGCAAAUUUAAAAAAUAUUUUCUUCAAUUAAACAUGCACCUCAAACGUGUAUCAUUUCUUUGUGUUGGGAACAUUCAAUAUCCUCCUUCAGCCUAUUUUAAACUGUACAAUAUAUUGUCAUCAACUAUAUUCAUUCUACAGUGAUACAGAAAACUAGAAUGUAUUCCUCCUAUCAAUCUGUAACUUUGUGUCCUUUAACAAAUGCUAAUUACCCUAAUCUGAUCACUACACAUGAUAUAUAUCAAAACAUCACUAUAGAGUCCAUAAAUAUUUAUAAUUAUUGUGCGUCAACCUUAAAAAUGGUUAAAAUGGUAAAGAUAGAUAAAUACAUAAGUGUGCAUCUCAAAUAGAUUAUCUUCUGAUGGACUACCUUAUUUAUUUUAAUUAAGAAAAAUAAAAACACUAAACAUCCCGAAGUCUACAAUACAAAGUAAACAGAUGGGGGCAGGUAGAGUAAUUUUUUCAAAAGUGUGGCAGCUGCCACAAGAGAAGAUAUAUAGAUCAAUGGUAUAGAAUAAAGAGCUUAGAAAUAAACCUCCACAUAAUAUGCUCAAAAGAUUUUCAACAAGGAUGCCAAGACUAUUAAGUAGGGAAAAGGACAGUCUUCAACAAAUAAUGUUUGGAAACUGAAUUAGCCACAUGCAAAGAAAUGAAGUUGUACCCCUCCCUUGCACCAUGUACAAAAAUUAACUCAAAAUAGAUAAAAGACCUAAAUGUAAGAUCUAAAACUAUAGAACUCUUACUUGAGACCAGCCUGGCCAACACGGUGAAACCCUGCCUCUACUAAAAAUACAAGAAUUAGCUGGGCAAGGUGGUGCACGCCUGUAAUCCUAGCUACUCAGGAGGCUGAGGCAGGAAAAUUGCCUGAACCUGGGAGGCAGUGGUUCCAGUGAGCUGAGAUUGCGCCACUGCACUCCAGCCUGGGUGACAGAGUGAGACUCUGUCUCAAAAAAAUAAAUAAAUAUAAAUAAAUCAAUAAAACUAUAGAACUCUUAGAAUGAAACAUAUAUAAAAAUAUUAAAAACAUUAAAUUUGUCAGUAAUUUCUUGAAUGUGAUACCAAAAGCAGAGGCAACAAAAGAUCAAAUAGAUAAAAUGGACUUAAUGAAAAUUAAAAACUUGCGAAUCAAAAGAAACUGUGAAGAGAGUAAAAAAGUAACCCACAUGUUGGGAGAAGACAUUUGCAAGUCAUAUAACUGAUAAAGGAUUAAUAUCCAGAAUACAUAAAGAACUCCUAAAACCCUACAACAAUGAAACAACCGAAUUCAAAAAUGGUCAAAGACUCAAAUAGACGUUUCUCCAAUAAAGAUGUACAAACGGACAAUAAGCAUAUGAAAAGAUAUGCAACAUCAGGAAUUACUAAUUAAAUGCAAACUAAUAUCAUAAUGAGACCACUUUAUACCCAUUGGCAUAGCCAAAAAAAAAAACAAAAUAAUAAAUGUU